rnacentral:sRNA from 1 species
UAAUGAGAAUGAAAAAAGAGAGGUAAUGGAAUACCUCUCUAAGCAGAGCCGUUAAAAAGAUGGUGGCUAUAAUUAAAUAGAUGAAAUA